CAUGCAAGUCGAGCGAGAAGCUAACUUCGGUUAGUGGAAAGCGGCGCACGGGUGAGUAACGCGUGGGAAUUUACCUUUUGGUGGGGGACAACAGUUGGAAACGACUGCUAAUACCGCAUAUACCCUACGGGGGAAAGAUUUAUCGCCAAAAGAUGGGCCCGCGUUAGAUUAGGUAGUUGGUAGGGUCAAAGCCUACCAAGCCUACGAUCUAUAGCUGGUUUGAGAGAACGAUCAGCCACACUGGAACUGAGACACGGUCCAGACUCCUACGGGAGGCAGCAGUGGGGAAUCUUGCACAAUGGGCGAAAGCCUGAUGCGGCCAUGCCGCGUGAGUGAGAAGGCCUUCGGGUUGUAAAACUCUUUUAGAUGUGAAGAUGAUGACGGUAACAUCAGAAAAAGCCCCGGCUAACUUCGUGCCAGCAGCCGCGGUAAUACGAAGGGGGCUAGCGUUGUUCGGAAUUACUGGGCGUAAAGAGCGUGUAGGCGGCUAGAUAAGUUAGGGGUGAAAUCCCGGAGCUCAACUUCGGAAUUGCCUUUGAUACUGUCUAGCUUGAGAUUGCGAGGGGAUAGCGGAAUACCCAGUGUAGAGGUGAAAUUCGU
rnacentral:rRNA from 1 species